rnacentral:lncRNA from 1 species
GUGUGGUUAGGAUCUACCCAUUAAAUGUCAAGAGUAUUCUUAUCUUUAUCUAAAUAUUUCUAAUAAUCAAUUUGUGCUAUUCUGUAGGACAAAUCUUUAUUAUGAAAACAACAACCCUUGAUGAAUUUCCAUUUACAUGCUUUAUAUGACCUGUCCAACUCAAUUUGAAAUGAUUAGGUUCUGAUACUUGAUGAAUAAAAAUCAAAGCAUUUAUUGAGAAAUCAGAUUUGCAAAUGGUAAAAUAUUGCCAAUAUUUUUGUGUUUUUGUAGCCAAGACAUCCAUCUGACAGAAGUGGGAAACAAUGGGAAAUACUGACUUUUGUAUGACACUGUCUGAUAAAAAUGAAGAGAUUUAAGUCUCUGUCUUCUAGUAUCAUGGCCUAGAUUGAAGUUGGUUAACUUUCUGGCUUUUUUGAACUUAGAUGAUACAAACAUAACCUCUAAGCCAUUCUGUGUGUGUGUGUGUGUGUGUGUGAAAUAAUUUUUGUUACUUUUAAUUUUUUGCAUAUAUUACAUCCUGACCACAGUUUUCAGUACCUUUCCUCUUCCCAGUGCUCUUUCCCAACUUCCCCUGUCCUCUAGAUCCACUUCUCCUUUUCCCUUCAAAACAAAACAAAACAAAACAAAACAAAACAAAACAAAAAAAACAAAGAGCAGGCCUCACAGGGAUAUUAACAGAACCUGGCAUAACAAAUUCCAUUAAGACUAGGAACAAACCCUCAUAUCAAGGCUGGAUGAAGGAAAAGGGCCCCAAGUAUAGGCAAGAGAUUCAGUGGCACCUCCAACCCUUGCUUUUAGGGGUCCAACAAAAACACCAACUAUAUAACUAUAAGGCGUAUGCAGAGGCACUAGCUCAGAACACAUUUAGAAUUCCUACAUUAAGGCAAGACAAAAGCAAGCAGAAAAACUAUCUGUGAGAGUGAAUCAGAUUUUUUUUUUUUUUACUGUAUACUCCACCACCAGAAAUGCUGGAGGCUGAGGGUUAAUUUGGGGCUUCAUAAGACACUUAAC